UACAGAGGGUGCGAGCGUUAAUCGGAAUUACUGGGCGUAAAGCGUGCGUAGACGGUUAUUUAAGUCGGAUGUGAAAGCCCCGGGCUCAACCUGGGAAUUGCAUUCGAGACUGAAUAGCUAGGGUACGGUAGAGGGAAGUGGAAUUUCCGGUGUAGCGGUGAAAUGCGUAGAUAUCGGAAGGAACAUCAGUGGCGAAAGCGACUUCCUGGACCAGUACCGACGUUCAGGCACGAAAGCGUGGGGAGCAAAGCAGG
rnacentral:rRNA from 1 species